rnacentral:misc_RNA from 1 species
UCAAACUUGGUCAUUUAGAGGAAGUAAAAGUCGUAACAAGGUUUCCGUAGGUGAACCUGCGGAAGGAUCAUUAUUGAAAAGUUUUGGAGAUUACUGAUGCUGGCCUUUUAACGAGGCAUGUGCACGUAUCUCUAAUCUAUUCAUCCACCUGUGCACUUUUUGUAGGAGUUCUCUUAGGUUGGCUUAUAGGUUUUUAAUGACCUUGUAGUCGAUUUGAAAGACUUCUAUGUUCUUACAAACUAGCUACUGUAUGUUUUAGAAUGUUCUUUUAUCGGGGCUUAAUUGACCCUUUAAAACUUUAUACAACUUUCAGCAACGGAUCUCUUGGCUCUCCCAUCGAUGAAGAACGCAGC